UGGCACUUCGUUGAAAUUUGAGGGGUUCCAAAUUUGAGAGAUCAGUCAUAUCCAGAAGCAUCAUUAAGAGAAGAAAGCAAGAACCAACAAAGAAACACUACUGUGUUUGGCCAUUUAUUACAAUAAGUCUAUCUUCUUACAUAGCGAAACAUAAAAUAAUACACACUUUUUGAAUGAUUCGAUCACUCCAAUAAAAAGAUUGAAGAAAGUUCAAAAGGAAAGACUUAAAGAGACUGAGCAAAGACUUAAGCUAAAGUUAAUACAGACCCCUUUGAGAUUGGGUUUAUCUUAUAAGAUCUCAACAACCGUCGACUGUAAUACCAGCUUCCACGUUUCUUCAUCUUCAUCGUCCCUUGCAUAUUCUCGAACAAUAAUAUCUCCAUUCCUAUGAUUUUCUCUACAUAACUUCUGUUAUUUUAAUGUGGAGAAUCAUCGUGGAUGAAUUAAACUUAAAAAGUUAUUUUUUACUCUUUCUUAGAAAAAAAGUUGU
rnacentral:lncRNA from 1 species